UGAGUACGAGAUGCUACGGCAUCGAAGCAGUCUAUGUCAUACUUCCAAGAAAAGCUUGCACUGUCAGAAACAGAUAAUGCCUGUACCAUAACCGACACAGGUGGGUAGGUAGAGUAUACUAAGGGGCGCGAGAUAACUCUCUCUAAGGAACUCGGCAAAAUGACUCCGUAACUUCGGGAGAAGGAGUGCCUUAUUUUUAAGGUUGCAAUAACAAGAUCCAAGCAACUGUUUACCAAAAACACAGGUCUCCGCUAAGUCGUAAGACGAUGUAUGGGGGCUGACGCCUGCCCAUUGCCAGAAGGUUAAAGAAGUCGGUUAGCAUUCGCGAAGCUGUAACUGAAGCCCUGGUGAACGGCGGCCGUAACAAUAACGGUCCUAAGGUAGCGAAAUUCCUUGUCGGGUAAGUUCCGACCCGCACGAAAGGCGUAAUGAUUUGGAUACUGUCUCGGAGAGGGGCUCGGUGAAAUAGACUUGUCUGUGAAGAUGCGGACUACCUGCACCUGGACAGAAAGACCCUAUGAAGCUUUACUGUAACUUGAAAUUGAAAUUGGACUUUAUUUGCGCAGUAUAGGUGGGAGGCGUUGAAAAUAUUCUUGCGGGAAUAUUGGAGCCAUCAGUGAGAUACCACUCUUGUAAUGUUAGAUUUCUAACUUUAUAUCAUUAUCUGGUUAAAGAACAGUUUCAGGCGGGCAGUUUGACUGGGGCGGUCGCCUCCCAAAUGGUAACGGAGGCGCACAAAGGUUCCCUCUGAACGGGUAGAAAUCGUAUCUAGAGUGUAAAGGCAUAAGGAAGCUUGACUGUGAGACCUACAAGUCGAGCAGGGACGAAAGUCGGUCUUAGUGAUCUGACGGUGCUGAGUGGAAAGGCCGUCACUCAACGGAUAAAAGUUACUCUAGGAUAACAGCUGAUCUCCCCCAAGAGUUCACAUCGACGGGGAGGUUUGGCACCUCGAUGUCGGCUCAUCGCAUCCUGGGGCGGUAGUACGUCCCAAGGGUUGGGCUGUUCGCCCAUGAAAGCGGUACGCGAGCUGGGUUCAGAACGUCGUGAGACAGUUCGGUCCAUAUCCGGUGUAGGCGUUAGAAUAUUGAGAGGAGCCUUCUUUAGUACGAGAGGACCGAGAAGGACAUACCUCUGGUGUACCAGUUAUCGUGCCAACGGUAAACGCUGGGUAGCUAUGUAUGGAGUGGAUAACCGCUGAAAGCAUCUAAGUGGGAAGCCCACCUCAAGAUAAGUAUUCUC
rnacentral:rRNA from 1 species